UACGUAGGGUGCAGGCGCUAAUCGGAAUUACUGGGCGUAAAGCGUGCGCAGGUGGUCUUUUAAGUCAGAUGUGAAAUCCCCGGGCUUAACCUGGGAACUGCGUUUGAAACUGGAAGGCUUGAGUGUGGCAGAGGGGGGUGGAAUUCCACGUGUAGCAGUGAAAUGCGUAGAGAUGUGGAGGAACACCGAUGGCGAAGGCAGCCCCCUGGGCUAACACUGACGCUCAUGCACGAAAGCGUGGGGAGCAAACAGG
rnacentral:rRNA from 1 species